CAGCAGCCACGGGAACACGAGGGGGGCAAGCGUUGUUCGGAAUUAUUGGGCGUAAAGGGUGCGUAGGCGGCUUGACAAGUCUUGUGUGAAAUCUAUGGGCUCAACCCAUAGUCUGCACGGGAAACUGUCGGGCUUGAGAAUGGGAGAGGUUAGUGGAAUUUCCGGUGUAGCGGUGAAAUGCGUAGAUAUCGGAAGGAACACCUGUGGCGAAAGCGGCUCACUGGACCAUUUCUGACGCUGAUGCACGAAAGCUAGGGGAGCAAACAGGAUUAGAUACCCCCGUAGUCCCUGUCUCUUAUAC
rnacentral:rRNA from 1 species